GUGCUCACUUUGGCAGCACACGUACUAAAACUGGAACGAGACGGAGAAUAUUAGCAAAGCCUCUGUGCAAGGAUGAUACCCAAGUUUGUGAAGCAUUCCAUACUUUU